rnacentral:rRNA from 1 species
CGGCAACAGCCUAAAACUCAAAGGACUUGGCGGUGCUUUAUACCCUUCUAGAGGAGCCUGUUCUAUAAUCGAUAAACCCCGAUAAACCUCACCAGUCUUUGCUAAUACAGUCUAUAUACCGCCAUCUUCAGCAAACCCUAAAAAGGAAUAGAAGUAAGCAUAAUCACAGUACGUAAAAACGUUAGGUCAAGGUGUAACCUAUGGAGUGGGAAGAAAUGGGCUACAUUUUCUAUCUUAAGAA